rnacentral:pre_miRNA from 1 species
AAUACAAUUGCUGGAUCGUGUGGUAAGAGUAUGUUUAGUUUUAUAGGAAACUGCCAAACUGUGUAACAAAAUGACUAUACCAUUUUGCAUUCCCACCAGCAAU